rnacentral:rRNA from 1 species
AGAACGAACGCUGGCGGCAUGCCUAAUACAUGCAAGUCGAACGAACUCUUCGGAGUUAGUGGCGCACGGGUGCGUAACGCGUGGGAAUCUGCCCUUGGGUUCGGAAUAACAGUUGGAAACGACUGCUAAUACCGGAUGAUGACGAAAGUCCAAAGAUUUAUCGCCCAGGGAUGAGCCCGCGUAGGAUUAGCCAGUUGGUGAGGUAAUGGCUCACCAAGGCGACGAUCCGUAGCUGGUCUGAGAGGAUGAUCAGCCACACUGGAACUGAGACACGGUCCAGACUCCUACGGGAGCAGCAGUGGGGAAUAUUGGACAAUGGGCGCAAGCCUGAUCCAGCCAUACCGCGUGGGUGAAGAAGGCCUUCGGGGUUGUAAAGCCCGUUUGUU